rnacentral:rRNA from 1 species
GACGAACGCUGGCGGCGUGCUUAACACAUGCAAGUCGAACGGAAAGGCCCUGCUUUUGUGGGGUGCUCGAGUGGCGAACGGGUGAGUAACACGUGAGUAACCUGCCCUUGACUUUGGGAUAACUUCAGGAAACUGGGGCUAAUACCGGAUAGGAGCUCCUGCUGCAUGGUGGGGGUUGGAAAGUUUCGGCGGUUGGGGAUGGACUCGCGGCUUAUCAGCUUGUUGGUGGGGUAGUGGCUUACCAAGGCUUUGACGGGUAGCCGGCCUGAGAGGGGGACCGGCCACAUUGGGACUGAGAUACGGCCCAGACUCCUACGGGAGGAAGCAGUGGGGAAUAUUGCACAAUGGGCGGAAGCCUGAUGCAGCACCGCCGCGUGCGGGAUGACGGCCUUCGGGUUGUAACCCGCUUUCGCCUGUGACGAAGCGUGAGUGACGGUAAUGGGUAAAGAAGCACCGGCUAACUACGUG